GCGCCCUAAGCGCUUGCGCGCUAGGCGGCGGACUCUUAAUCCGUUGGUUCGGGGUUCGAGUCCCUGAUGGCCCACCA
rnacentral:tRNA from 1 species